CGGGUCACAACUCCAGUGUUGGCUGCAGGCAGAGGGAGAGAACCCAGAAGCUUGCCCUUGGCUGAGGACAGGGAUCUACAUGAUGUCUUCUUUGACCUUGAGAAUGCUCCUGCCUGCCCUGCCUGGCAGGAGCGGAGCUGGAACGUUCCCCUCUGGCAAUGCUGUCUGAAGGCAGCUUCCAGACAUCUUCCAGGCACUUUAUCUUCUCUUCACCCCAGGCUUCGCUGAUGUCCAGAAGGCAGGGUUCUUCCCUUCCACGGACAGUGGGAAGCAUGGCCACCAUUCCUACCACACAGCUGCUGCCAGUGCUCUUGGAGUGUGCCCAGCCCUCUCUCCAGCUCUGCCACCACCUACUUCCUCCCAAGAAAGAACGCUGCCUUCUCUUGCCUACGCCCCUGUGCUGGCAAGAAGCACACAGCGCCAUUGGAAAGGUUCCAAGGCCCACACCUGGGUUGGCUUCUUCCUGGAACUAGGCCACAUGCCUAGCAGCAGAAGAAUAUUUCUUAUUGAGCUCUUUUUGUCUAGGGGACUCCAGGCUGUCUGUGUCCUCCUGCCUCCUUUUAUGGUGCCUAGAAAGCUUAUGGGGGAGUGCCCCCCCUGGGGGGCACAGAGAAACAGCCCGAGGCAGGGCCAGGCUGGCUCCUGAGGUGCUUGGAGCUUCUCAGGGUCCUUUCUUUGCACCCCAAGUGCUGUGAAGAAGGAGGGGGUGGUGAGGUGGCUGUGGAAGGACGAGAACGUGAGAAGAGAGAACCAUUCUAGUUUCUAUAGCAACCACACAUGUGAGCCAGCUGCUGUCACCAUGGAAACAAGGGGAGCCUGCUCAGAGCCUGCAAUGUCUCAAGGGAAACACAUUUUUUUUUGAAAAAAAAAAAAAACCUAA